UACGUAGGUGGCAAGCGUUGUCCGGAUUUACUGGGUGUAAAGGGCGUGUAGCCGGGAAGGCAAGUCAGAUGUGAAAUCCGGAGGCUCAACCUCCGAAUUGCAUUUGAAACUGUUUUUCUUGAGUACUGGAGAGGCAGACGGAAUUCCUAGUGUAGCGGUGAAAUGCGUAGAUAUUAGGAGGAACACCGGUGGCGAAGGCGGCCUGCUGGACUGUGACUGACGUUGAGGCCCGAAGGCGUGGGGAGCAAACAGG
rnacentral:rRNA from 1 species